rnacentral:rRNA from 1 species
UGGGUAAUAUUGGACAAUGGGCUAAAGCCUGAUCCAGCCAUGCCGCGUGUGUGAAGAAGGUCUUCGGAUUGUAAAGCACUUUAAGUUGGGAGGAAGGGCAGUAAGCGAAUACCUUGCUGUUUUGACGUUACCGACAGAAUAAGCACCGGCUAACUCUGUGCCAGCAGCCGCGGUAAUACAGAGGGUGCAAGCGUUAAUCGGAAUUACUGGGCGUAAAGCGCGCGUAGGUGGUUCGUUAAGUUGAAUGUGAAAGCCCCGGGCUCAACCUGGGAACUGCAUCCAAAACUGGCGAGCUAGAGUAGGGCAGAGGGUGGUGGAAUUUCCUGUGUAGCGGUGAAAUGCGUAGAUAUAGGAAGGAACACCAGUGGCGAAGGCGACCACCUGGGCUCAUACUGACACUGAGGUGCGAAAGCGUGGGGAGCAAACAGG